GGUUCCGAAGUCCCUUGAGACUGCAGGGCGGAGCUUGGGAGGGAAGUCCGAGAUAGGGUGAAGAAGUGGUCAGCAGCUUCAGGCUCUUACUUAGCGGCUGGCCUGGGAGCUGAAGGCUCUCCUUUUGCUCAUCACUAAGGGGUUCUGAUCGUCCUUGGCCCUUGGAGGAAGAACACAAGAGAAUAUUGAUCCAAAAUUGAUAUUGUUGUGGUUAUCGAUGUCACCAACCUGAACUCAUCAAAUAACAGGAGCCAUGAAAGUGAUACUGUAGAAGCUGUUACUGAGCAAGAAGCCACUACAGAUGUCGAUGAUGCCUACAGGUGGUUCCAUUGGCAAGAACAUAGCUGGUCAGAAAAGGUCCCACCCACGACUGACAUCGGAAGGCCAGGCAUGAGAAGGAGCUGGCCAGAGGAUUUGGUGCUGGGGCUCCCUACAUGAAUAACUACCACCAAGAAGGAGGAACCCACACAUGUCUGGAAUCUUCCACUCAUGAAUGGAGGCUCAGCCUGAAAGUAAUUAAGACGAUACCAAGAAAAACUGCUUUGACUGUUCGCAGAAAUCCAUUAGCAUGUCAUCAGGCUCCUUCCAUGCAAAGCCAGUGCUAGCCCUUCCCUGAAGUUCUCUGCUGCUUAGUUUCCCCCAGCAUCCGUUCCGCUGGGUGAUGCUGAGCUCUUUUGAUGAGCCAGCCUGGCAAGGCUUCCAGCAGAGAGGCUUCUCACAGACAGGCUUGAUAGACAUUUCCGACUCACCCCACCCAUCAGGAUGAGAGGCUGCACGGAGCGAGACUUCAGCACCUACCUGUAGCAGGCCUGCUCUGGGCCCAAGCACUCCAGCCAGACCAAUGUCAAAGAAAAAUAAGUUCCCGCUGAUUUGCCAGGUGUUACCCUGCACACUUGUGCACACUCUUGUCUAAUGAAAAGGACAUGCUCCAGGAGUGUGAUCUCGUGGAUGCUAACCCUGACUUGGUUUAUGUGCAGCUCUCUCUCUCUCUCUCUCUCUCUCUCUCUCUCUCUCUCUCUCACACACACACACACACACACACAUUCUCACUCUGCAUAGGCAUGUGCACACAAAGCAGA